UACGUAGGGUGCAAGCGUUGUCCGGAAUUAUUGGGCGUAAAGAGCUCGUAGGCGGUUUGUCGCGUCUGCUGUGAAAACUCGGGGCUUAACUCCGGGCCUGCAGUGGGUACGGCAGACUAGAGUGCGGUAGGGGAGAGCUGGAAUUCCUGGUGUAGCGGUGAAAUGCGCAGAUAUCAGGAGGAACACCGGUGGCGAAGGCGGGUCUCUGGGCCGUAACUGACGCUGAGGAGCGAAAGCGUGGGGAGCGAACAGG
rnacentral:rRNA from 1 species